AAUUAUUAUUAUACCUCUCAUGUCUCGGAAAUUUGCACCCUGUGAUUAAUAUAUUGGAAUCAUUUUUAUUGCUCACAGGGUGCAAACUUUAGAGACUUGAAAUGUGUAAUAAUAAAAUA
rnacentral:pre_miRNA from 1 species